CUCUUAUCAUCUAGCGCAAUACACAGGCAAUAAAAAGCUCGUCCAAAUUUUGCUGUGAUUAAUUUCGUUUCAUGUUAAAAAGAAGGAAGCUUUCGGGGAGAAGAGAAAUCUGAGAUAAGAAUUUAGAAGCUAAGCAAAGUCGAGUAGUUACAUAUAUAUAUUGUAAAUAUUGUAAUUUACUAAUAAUUUAAGGAUGUCUCAUCAGAGAAUGUUAACAUCAGACAGCUCGGAAAGUCGGGCUAGAAAGUAUUCUGGAGACAAGUCUUGCGAAUAUGAAUGUCAUGUUUGUAACAAACGAUUUUCGCGUUCAUGGCACCUUGCAGAACAUCGAACAACACACACUGGGGAGAAACCGUAUAAAUGCGACGUCUGCGACAAAAGUUUCUCCAAAUCAUGGACCUUAGUAAAUCACAAAAGAAUACAUACGGGAGAAAGGCCUUACAAAUGUGAUGUUUGCAUGAAAACGUUCACUCGAUCAAGUAUCUUAUCAAAUCACAAAAAAAUACACACCGGCGAAAAACGCCAUGGUUGUGAUGUUUGUACGAAACGUUUUAUAAACAAGGGCAAUUUAGCAAGGCAUAAAAGAACACAUACUGGGGAGAAGCUCUUCGAAUGUGAUGUCUGUGGUAAACGAUUUUCCGAUAAAAGAGACUUAUCAAGACAUAAAAGAAUACAUAGCGGGGAGAAACCGCAUGAAUGCGAUGCGUCCAAGGAGGGAUCUUGUUUUCGAGGGAAUUCCAAUCAACACAACAAGAAGCAUUUGUUUUGCAAAAGUUGCAACAGGGAGAUCAUUCGGCCACAAGAUUUGAAAGAAGAUUUUGUUGAAGAUAAGUACAAUGGGAAGUACGUUUGCGGGAAAUGUAACAAACAGUUUGCUGAUUUCGAUAAAUUGAUAAAGCAUGUCGCAAGGCAACAUGGCAAUGAUGGCAAGUAUCAAUGUGGUUUUUGUCAAGAACUUGAAUCAACAGAACCAACUGGCAUUGGAUAUGUUUGUUGUGUCUGUGAUGCUGUGUUUGAUAUUCCCAGGAAACUCGAAGAUCACAUGGUAACUCACAACAUGAUGCAGGAAGACUGAUUUUUUUAUUUUAAGGAUAUAGUUUUAUAUGAGGUAGCUUUUCAUGGGUUUUUAUUUUACGGAUAUAGUUUCAAAGAGCAGUGCAGUUUUAUGCAUGUCGACCAACAUUUCAUCUUACCAACUUCCUUAUAUACUUUAGUUUAACUUUUCUAACAAACAUUUACAUUUAAACUGAUGUAUUGGUUUGAUUGUCAUCCAUUGAUCUGAUUUUACUGAUUCAUAAGUGUCACUUAGGUAUCAAAUUAUCAACAAUUUGAGUCAAAUAUAGCAUUGACCAUCUUCCUCUGGGACGCUUUCGGGCAUUUUCAACUGUUCUAUGUCCAGGAUUUGGGCAUGGUACUUAUAAAAUUGACGUCCGAUCCGUUCGGCAACCUGUCAAAGAGGCAGGCAUUUAUGGGGAAUAAAAAGCGUUUUUAAUGUCAGUAACAGAUAAGAUAUGCUGCGGAAUCACAUUAUCAUAGAUUAAACUAAGGCCAGCUCAGCCCCCUCUGAAUAUGGUACAUAUUAAGCCUGG